AAACGACUUGAGGAGCUGUUGGCAGAAUGUUAGAAAACGAGAAAGCAGACGCCUAUUCACAGACAACGUAUUCGGAACACCCACUGGCACAGCAUAAUGCCAAUAAACUGGUCCAUCCUCGAAUCAAUGUUUUGUUCGCAUACAUCAGAGCUGAUCUCCACCAUUUGGAGCCAACCCAGGAGAUCCUGCACGGUGCUCAGUAGGCUGCCAGUAGUAUACAAUCCGGAGAGGAAUUUUAUACGUAAUCGAAUAACGUCGGGUUGGUUACUUUUGUACCCUGACCGCCACUGCUAUAAAUAGCCAUCGAUUCCAGGAAUUGGAAGGGCGUCCUUUGACUGAUGGCGAUAGGACCAGGAAAAAGGUUUCUCAUAUAACAAAUGCAAUAUGAUGUGCGAUCCGGCGAGGCUAAACAGGCCAAAAAAAACAAGUCUUUAUCGAGUGUCAAUUUUCACUGCUAAUAUUUGAAUUAUUAAUAAAGAUUGUUU